UAGGGAAUCUUCCGCAAUGGACGAAAGUCUGACGGAGCAACGCCGCGUGAGUGAAGAAGGAUUUCGGUUCGUAAAACUCUGUUGUUAGGGAAGAAAAAAUGUAUAGUAAUUAUAUACAAAAGAGACGGUACCUAACCAGAAAGCCACGGCUAACUACGUGCCAGCAGCCGCGGUAAUACGUAGGUGGCAAGCGUUGUCCGGAAUUAUUGGGCGUAAAGCGCGCGCAGGUGGUUUAGAAAGUCUGAUGUGAAAGCCCACGGCUCAACCGUGGAGGGUCAUUGGAAACUAAUAAACUUGAGUGCAGGAGAGAAAAGUGGAAUUCCUAGUGUAGCGGUGAAAUGCGUAGAGAUUAGGAGGAACACCGGUGGCGAAAGCGGCUUUUUGGCCUGCAACUGACACUGAGGCGCGAAAGCGUGGGGAGCAAACAGG
rnacentral:rRNA from 1 species